rnacentral:rRNA from 1 species
UACAGAAGCCUCAAGCGUUGUUCGGAAUUACUGGGCGUAAAGGGCAUGUAGGUGGUGACGUAAGUCAGAUGUGAAAGCCCCGGGCUUAACCUGGGAAGUGCAUUUGAUACUGCGUUGCUAGAGUGUGGAAGAGGAGAGCGGAAUUCCAGGUGUAGGGGUGAAAUCCGUAGAUAUCUGGAGGAAUACCGAUGGCGAAGGCAGCUCUCUGGUCCAUAACUGACACUGAGAUUCGAAAGCGUGGGUAGCAAACAGG